rnacentral:rRNA from 1 species
UACGGGGGGGGGCAAGCGUUGUUCGGAAUUACUGGGCGUAAAGGGCUCGUAGGCGGCCAACUAAGUCGGAUGUGAAAUCCCCAGGCUUAACCUGGGAACUGCAUCCGAUACUGGAUGGCUUGAAUCCGGGAGAGGGAUGCAGAAUUCCAGGUGUAGCGGUGAAAUGCGUAGAUAUCUGGAGGAAUACCGGUGGCGAAGGCGGGUCUCUGGGCAACAACUGACGCUGAGGAGCGAAAGCGUGGGGAGCGAACAGG